rnacentral:rRNA from 1 species
CGCUGGCGGCGUGCCUAACACAUGCAAGUCGAACGGGGAUUUGUUUCGGCAGAAUCCUAGUGGCGAACGGGUGAGUAACGCGUAGGCAACCUGCCCUCCGGCCGGGGACAACACUCCGAAAGGGGUGCUAAUACCGGAUACGAAGUCUGUGCCGCAUGGUACGGAUUUGAAAGAUGGCCUCUAUUUAUAAGCUAUCGCCGGGGGAUGGGCCUGCGUCCGAUUAGCUGGUUGGUGGGGUAACGGCCUACCAAGGCGACGAUCGGUAGCCGGUCUGAGAGGAUGAACGGCCACAUUGGGACUGAGACACGGCCCAGACUCCUACGGGAGGCAGCAGUGGGGAAUCUUCCGCAAUGGGCGCAAGCCUGACGGAGCAACGCCGCGUGAGUGAGGAAGUUCUUCGGAACGUAAAGCUCUGUUGUUCCUGACGAACCUCCCUUCUAUCAACAACGGAAGGGACUGACGGUAGGGAACGAGGAAGCCACGGCUAACUACGUGCCAGCCGCCGC